rnacentral:tRNA from 1 species
GGAGAAGUACUCAAGUAGGCUCAAGAGGACGGUUUGCUAAACCGUUAGACCGGGUAACUGGUGCGAGGGUUCGAAUCCCUCCUUCUCCGCCA